rnacentral:rRNA from 1 species
UACGUAGGGGGGCAAGCGUUGUCCGGAAUCAUUGGGCGUAAAGAGCGUGUAGGCGGCUUGGCAAGUCUGACGUGAAAGCCCGCGGCUCAACCGCGGAUUGUCGUUGGAAACUGCCUCGCUAGAGUCCGGAAGAGGAGAGCGGAAUUCCUGGUGUAGCGGUGGAAUGCGCAGAUAUCAGGAAGAACACCCGUGGCGAAGGCGACUAUCUGGCUGACAACUGACGCUGAGACUCGAAAGCAUGGGGAGCAAACAGG